GCUGGUGUGGCUCAGUGGUUGAGCACUGACCCAUGAACCAGGAGGUCAAGGUUCAAUUCCUUGCCUGAACA
rnacentral:tRNA from 1 species